rnacentral:sRNA from 1 species
AUGAUUUCCCGAAGGUCCGAGAAUAUCUGAAGUAAGGGUUUGACAAGUUUAAUAUAUCGAUGUUUUUAUAUAUAAUUAUAUUAUAAAAACAUCGAUAUAUUAAAUUAUAUUAUAAAAACAUCGAUAUAUUAAACUUGUCAAACCCUUACUUCAGAUAUUCUCGGACCUUUGGGAAAUCAU